UACGGAGGGUGCAAGCGUUAUCCGGAUUCACUGGGUUUAAAGGGUGCGUAGGUGGAUUGGUAAGUCCGUGGUGAAAUCCCCGAGCUUAACUCAGGAACUGCCGUGGAUACUAUCAAUCUUGAAUACUGUGGAGGUAAGCGGAAUAUGUCAUGUAGCGGUGAAAUGCUUAGAUAUGACAUAGAACACCAAUUGCGAAGGCAGCUUGCUACACGGUUAUUGACACUGAGGCACGAAAGCGUGGGGAUCAAACAGG
rnacentral:rRNA from 1 species